CACGUAGGGGGCGAGCGUUGUCCGGAUUUAUUGGGCGUAAAGAGCUCGUAGGUGGUUCGGUAAGUCGGGUGUGAAAACUCUGGGCUCAACUCAGAGACGCCACCUGAUACUGCUGUGACUUGAGUCUGGUAGGGGAGUGUGGAAUUCCCGGUGUAGCGGUGAAAUGCGCAGAUAUCGGGAGGAACACCAGUGGCGAAGGCGGCACUCUGGGCCAGUACUGACACUGAGGAGCGAAAGCGUGGGUAGCGAACAGG
rnacentral:rRNA from 2 species